rnacentral:tRNA from 1 species
CGCGAACCUGGCGUCCGCGACGCGCCAGGCCUGAAAAGCGGAAGGUCGGCGGUUCGACCCCGCCCCUGCCCA